rnacentral:rRNA from 1 species
AUUAGGAAUCUUGCACAAUGGGCGAAAGCCUGAUGCAGCGACGCCGCGUGGGGGACGAAGGGUCUCGGCCUGUAAACCCCUUUUGACAGGGAAGAAGGAUGUGACGGUACCUGUCGAAUCAGCCCCGGCUAACUACGUGCCAGCAGCCGCGGUAAUACGUAGGGGGCGAGCGUUGUCCGAAUUUACUGGGCGUAAAGCGCGCGUAGGCGGUCCCUUAAGUCUGGGGUGAAAGGUUCAGCGCUCAACGCGAACAGUGCCUUGGAGACUGGGGGACUUGAGUCCGGCAGGGGGUGGCGGAAUUCCUGGUGUAGCGGUGAAAUGCGUAGAUAUCAGGAGGAACACCGGUGGCGAAGGCGGCCACCUGGGCUAGGACUGACGCUGAGGCGCGAAAGCGUGGGGAGCGAACGG